GUCCUAGCCGUAAACGGUGGGCACUAGGUGUUGGAGGCAUUGACCCCUCCAGUGCCGCAGCUAACGCAUUAAGUGCCCCGCCUGGGGAGUACGACCGCAAGGUUGAAACUCAAAGGAAUUGACGGGGGCCCGCACAAGCGGUGGAGCAUGUGGUUCAAUUCGACGCAACGCGAAGAACCUUACCCAGACUUGACAUGCACAGGACGGGUGUGGAAACACAUCUUUCCUUCGGGACCUGUGCACAGGUGCUGCAUGGCUGUCGU
rnacentral:rRNA from 1 species